rnacentral:lncRNA from 1 species
UGAAAUCCAUAAAGGGAAGCCUGGGAGGAAUACUUCCUCUUUGCUGGAUGUGGCGUCUGCGUGUACCAUCUGGAAUUGCUGUAGCCAACUUACAAAUACAGACGAAAGCUUUAUCAACCUGCUGAGCACAGCAGAAUGGAAAGAUGCAAAGCACCCUGCUCUUGGGAACUGGCCACCUUCAGACUUCUUGCUACAUCAGGUUUUAUCUACUACAAAGGAUAUCACUUGGGAAGGAAUUUCUUGAAACUGCUCCCAAGAGAGCCAUUGGACCAUGUGGUAAACAACUCCUAGCUGAUGGAUUAUUGGGAAUAUUAACAUCAUCCAGAAUGCUAUGGGGAGAAGACAACUGGAAGCUCCGUGUGGACAAACCUCCUGGACUCUGCCCCACAUAUCUCUUCCCUUGGCUGAUUUGAAUUUGUAUCCUUUCACUGUGAUAAACCACAACCAGAUUAUUACAGCUGUCAGCAAGUUCUUCUAUUGAAUUGUUGAAACUGAGGGUGGUCUUGGGAACCCCUGAACUCUACUGUUGGUGUCAGGAGUGAGGGAAGUCUUGUGGACUGUACUCCCUGACCUCACAGUUAGAAGCUGACAGCUGACACGCCCUUCCUUUGUGCAUUUUAUCCUGGGACAAAAUGAGAAGACAUCCUUCAGUUCCCAUCUUGGAUGGCAUAACUUCAAAACCAAGGGAGAUGGAGGAGUUUUAGAGGAGUAGAAGGCUGCAAGCAAGAACUGAUGCAUUACAUCUCCAGUCACCUCACUCUAAGAUUGUCCUGUAGCUAAGACUGUUGAAUGAGACUGUUGUUCUUCAGUUUGCAGCCACAAAGCACGGAGGCAUCUCCCCAAGAAUCCACUGCAGGGAGGAUGAACAGCCCUUACCUGGAUUUUUGCUUUAUCUAAAAAUAUAUUUGUAGAAGAAGGAGCAUUCUAGUUUCCAAAUACAAAGGGCAAUCUCCUUCUCUGUGUGUGCACGUGCAAACAAACACACUUCUACAAGUAAGCAUUCUUCUUUAUUAUCAUAGUCAUCAUCAUCACUGGGUUGGCAACUAAAAACAAAACUACAAAACUCUCAUGUUAGCAGUUGAGUAACUUUUAAUAACCAGAUACAAACCAUUCUUCAUUGUUUACAAGGGGCAUUAAAAAGAAAAGGAGGUUGAACUGCAAUGUGAAGUGUAGUUAAAUAUGUAGACAUCUUGGAUUCUAGAAGAGUUUGUAAUGGAUUAAAGGGUUAAGCUAUGAAAUUGUUGCCCUCUGUGAUUUUUCCACACUAGAACAGACUGACAUGGUUUGAAGCAGUUGGGCUUUAACCUAUAGAUAGGAGGACAGAGAUGAUUGCCUAUGAAGCAAUUAUUAAAUAGCUGCAUUUUGGCAUGUUCUAGUUGAAAAGAUUUAGUUUUACCUAUAUCACCUCAUCAUCACUAAUUUAAUCAUCCUCAGAAAAUGCAAAAAUAAUGAUGUACAUUUGACAAGUCUUAUACAAAAUUAUGUUUCAUAGCUUUGUGGUCAGAAUUAAGCCAUGUUCUAAAAUACAAAUGAAUAGUUUACAGCCCACUAAUUCCUAACUGUAAGUGUUAAGUCUAUAUAAAAAUAAGAGACAAGCUUGUGAUCAGGAAUAGCUUCCAAUUAUGAAAAAUUUAAAUAAAAAUAAUAGAAUGUGCUUAAUUUAUUUAUCAUAUACAAAGUAGACAUAUGUGACCAAAAUGAUUCAUUAUUUUUACGAUUUUCAUGGGAAUAAGUUUGACAAUAUU